UACGUAUGGGGCGAGCGUUGUCCGGAAUGACUGGGCGUAAAGGGCGUGCAGGCGGCCUGUUAAGUCUGGAGUGAAAGUCCUGCUUUCAAGGUGGGAAUUGCUUUGGAGACUGGCGGGCUUGAGUGCGGAAGAGGUAAGUGGAAUUCCCAGUGUAGCGGUGAAAUGCGUAGAGAUUGGGAGGAACACCAGUGGCGAAGGUGACUUACUGGGCCGUAACUGACGCUGAGGCGCGAAAGCGUGGGGAGCGAACAGGAUUAGAUACCCUGGUAGU
rnacentral:rRNA from 1 species